rnacentral:rRNA from 1 species
CCUGAUGCAGCCAUGCCGCGUGUGUGAAGAAGGCCUUCGGGUUGUAAAGCACUUUCAGUUGUGAGGAAAAGUUAGUAGUUAAUACCCGCUAGCCGUGACGUUAACAACAGAAGAAGCACCGGCUAACUCCGUGCCAGCAGCCGCGGUAAUACGGAGGGUGCGAGCGUUAAUCGGAAUUACUGGGCGUAAAGCGCACGCAGGCGGUUUGUUAAGCUAGAUGUGAAAGCCCCGGGCUCAACCUGGGAUAGUCAUUUAGAACUGGCAGACUAGAGUCUUGGAGAGGGGAGUGGAAUUCCAGGUGUAGCGGUGAAAUGCGUAGAUAUCUGGAGGAACAUCAGUGGCGAAGGCGACUCCCUGGCCAAAGACUGACGCUCAUGUGCGAAAGUGUGGGUAGCGAACAGGAUUAGAUACCCUGGUAGUCCACACCGUAAACGCUGUCUACUAGCUGUUUGUGACUUUAAGUCGUGAGUAGCGAAGCUAACGCGCUAAGUA